CCUCUCAGAGCAUGCGAGGCCCCUCCGCCUAGGGCUGGGGACAGGACCCAGAAAUGUCGCGGUUCAAACAGAGGCACCAACACAAUAUAGGCUUUCACCAUGCAAGUGUAUUGAGUUUAUGUACCUGUUGAUCCAUGGACGUGUCUGAUGACUGGGUAUGUACAAGUAUGCAUAUGUUUGUGCUUUCUGUGUGAAUACAUGCUUGUGUGUUGAUGUAAAUCUGCAUGAGUGUGUGGGAUGUGUGUGCACGUUUCUGUAGGAUGCGAGUGUGCCCUGUAGGUGCAUCUUAAAGUAGGAAUGUGGAUGGGUGAAAUGUGUAUGUGUGGGAUGCUGUGGGAAUGAGUGUUUUGUGUGCCUGUGUGGAGAUCUACAAAUGUGUGUACAUGGGUGAAUCUGUACGUGAAGCGUGUGCGUGCACGUGUGAUAUGUGUGGUGUGUAUGAGUGUGUGUGGUUGCAGGUAUGUGCAUGCACAAACGUACCCUUGUUGUCCUUUUCUUUCCUUUCCUCCUGGGGAACUACAGAGCUUCUAAGUCCUAACCGUGGCUGGUGGCUCUUCCAGGAACAUGGUUUCCUGGACUUGAAGAGUGAGAACGUCAGAGGCCCCACGCUGUGUGGGGAGCUGGAAGCAGGGCGGGGACAUGGACUGGCCCUGGUUCCACUCCUGCUCCCUCUUCUAGCUGAGCAACGUCUGCGCCCCCAGCCUCUCUCACAGCGGGGAUCAUGUGAGACCACGCAAGUUGACACCGUGUUCCGUCCACACCUGGCACACAAGUCUGUGAUGGCCCAUUGGACAGACAUGGAAAUUGAGGCUCAGAGAGAUGAAGUGACCUGCCCAGGGUCAAGGAGCUUCAGUGAGAACCCAAGUUGUUCUGGUCCAAGGCCUGUGUUCUUAAUCCCUCACCCCCUCAGUCCUUCCCUAUCCUGAGCCUGGGGGCAGCUGGUGCAGGGGCGAGAGCAGGAGCUUUGGAGCCACAGACCUGGCCUCAGAUCCCAGCCUCACUGGGGCCUCCGUGUGGCCUCGGUGAGUCUUCAGCCUCAGUCUCCUCACCUACAAUCAGGGGCCACAUUGCCACUAUGUGGAUCCUGGUGGGGAUCGAAUGCAAUAAGGCAUGGAAGCACCCGGGGAGGGCCUGGCAUGCAGUGAGAGCUCACUGUCUCCACCCCCAACUACUCAGGACCACGCUUCCAAGGCAGGGCUGAGAGAGGCUGUGUGGGCUGAGCCUCUGGAAGUGUCCUGCCAGGUCAGGGAAGUGGGACUGCUAUGGGAGGUCAGGAGAGGAGGUCCCUGUGGGAGGCGUACUUUCCAAAAAUGGCCUCAGGAGCAUUUCCAGGUCCACACACUGGAAACUUGUCAUUCUCCAUCGAGAGAUGGAGUCUAUUGCCCCACUCCUUGAAACUGGGCAAAACUUUGUGACUGGCUCAAUGAGCAGAAUGCAGCAGAAUCGUCAUCCCACAACUUCCCAGGCUAAAUCUACGAAGGGAAUACAGCUUCCACCUGUCUGUUUGUCUGUCUGCCUGCCUGUCUCUGUCUCUGGAAUCCAGCCACCAUAUUGUGAGGAAGCCCAGGCCAUAUGAGAAGGACACUAUGGGUGCUCUUGCCAACAGCCUCAGUUAAGGUCUUGGCCAGUGACCAGCUUCAGCCACUGGACACAUGCAUGAACGACUCUUCAAACGAUUCCAGGUCCUGACUACAACCAAGCCAGGUCACGUCAAGCAGAGCAGAGGCGAAUGAUGCCCUCUGAGCCUCCCCAAAUGCAGGUUUGAGAACAAAGUAAACGUCCCUGUUUCAAGCGCUAAGUUUCUGGUACUCAGCACUGGGUAACAGGAACCGCCCUCCUGCCCUGCAGCCCUCCAAGCCACCCCAGCCAGGUACAGGUAAGCCCCUCCCCAUGUCCCACUCCCACUCCCACAGCCAGAACCUGGGUCAGUCCUCUGCCCACUGCUGAGCCCUCCCAGCCGAGACAGCCAGCCUGGCUCAGAGCCCCGCUCCAGCACUUUCCCUGCGUGCCCUCGGGCAGAUCACCAACCCUCUAUGAUGCUCAGUUUCCUCUGUGUCGAGUGGGAAUUGUGAUGGUAGCUCUCAGGAGUCUGGAGGGUUAACCAAAUAAAGUGCCUGGUACAGAGUGAGUGCUCCUUGGGUGGACGCAGGGGUCAGAGGCUGGAGAGAAAGGAAGAAGUCAAAGAUGUGGUCACAGGAGAGACGAGGAGAGGGUUUCAGGGAGCCUGGAAAGCGAAGAGUUCUGUGGUCAUCAAAUGUGAGAAGCACAGUUCUGUGCAGGUGGGAUGGGUCCCAAGGAGGCGCUGCCCUCAGGCUGCUCUCAGAUUGACUGAGGUAUGGGAGGAAGAGGAGCUGGGCCGGGCAAGUGUGUGUGUGUGUGUGUGUUGGGGGGGGCCGGGCACUAGAGCCAGGUGGGCUCAGCUACACCUGAGUGUCGGCUCUGAGGCUUCUCAGAAACCAAGGGGCACCCUCCCUGCCCCAGCCAGAGCCAGCCCGGCCGGCCCUAUCUAGGGAGAUAAAGUCACUGCCGAGGCUCCCAGACCAGAGCCGUCCUUAUCAGCCCUGGUAGUCUGGGGUAUUUGGGAAUGUAAACGAGCCUGAUGCUCCAGCCCAAAGACACAAAGCAGAGGUGGGGGAUGGUCCCUCUCCCCAUCCCCCUUCCCUCCUUGCAGCCCUACAAGUGGGCGAGGCAGGAGAGCAGCCUUAGGGCCGGGGCGAGCCCUUCACCCACCACCCACCAGCCUCGAUGUCCCGGAAAACACAGCCCUGCAGAGUUCACUGCCUAGUGGGCGAGAUGGACAAGUAGGUAAUAAUAACAACAGCAAUAGCAAGCUUGUUUCUGAGCACUUGCUCCACGCCGGCACUGCUGUGGGUGAGCCACAUUGCGCCGAGUGACUUACACAGGUGAACUCACUUAAUUCGCACACAGCCCCAUGGUGUAGCACUGUGAAUAUUUCCACCUUACAGAGGAGGAAGCUGAGCCACCGGGAGGUGACCGCCGGCAUGCGAGUUCCAGAGCAGGGUUCAAGCUCGGGGAGGCCUGGCUCCCUGAGAGCGCAGCGAGGGCUGUGAUGGGGGUUCCACCACGGGCAGUCUCUCCUGGCUGAGCUAGAUGGAGCUGUGGCGAGACAAGGGAGGGAACGGGUCAGCGCAGAGUGGGUGCCCCACAAGGCUCAGUGUCCACCGCCCCCCC
ensembl:lncRNA